ensembl:lncRNA
CUUCCAAUCCCCAUGCACCAGCAUUUCCCUGCAGCAGCCUCAUUAAGGGCUGGUUUCAAAGCUCCUUCACAGGAGAGGAUAAUGAUGCCAAGGAAGAGCAGAUUUCUUGGGGGAAAGGGCAGGAGAGCGCUGUGAGCCUAAUGUGGAAACAGGCUCCCACUCCUGUCUCCACCACAAGAAGGCCAGAGAAGAGAACUGGGUCCGGGAAAGAGGGUCAUGGCUCUUCUUCUCUGUCCCAGCUGGCGCUCAGCCUGGGUGCAAGAAGGACUGGAGGAGGAGGAAGAUAGGAAGAGGAGACAAACACACCAUGCAACUUCUGCUACUUUCUGACCUUAUGUGGGAAGCCUGGGCUUCUGCUCCCCCUUUUUACCAGCUAAAAUAAAGAAGGCAAUUGGAGGUGUUGGCCAUACACCUAUGUCCAUAUCUCAGGGCUGCUAAUAGCUGUGAAAUCUUGGCCUAUCACCUUGACUUAUCUUCCCCGGUGUUAAAUAGAUUAAAGCCAUCAAAGCGG